UGGGGAAUAUUGCACAAUGGGCGCAAGCCUGAUGCAGCCAUGCCGCGUGUAUGAAGAAGGCCUUCGGGUUGUAAAGUACUUUCAGUCGGGAGGAAGGUGUCAAGGUUAAUAACCUUGGCAAUUGACGUUACCGACAGAAGAAGCACCGGCUAACUCCGUGCCAGCAGCCGCGGUAAUACGGAGGGUGCAAGCGUUAAUCGGAAUUACUGGGCGUAAAGCGCACGCAGGCGGUUGAUUGAGUCAGAUGUGAAAUCCCCGGGCUUAACCCGGGAAUUGCAUCUGAUACUGGUCAGCUAGAGUCUUGUAGAGGGGGGUAGGAUUCCAUGGGUAGCGGUGAAAUGCGUAGAGAUGUGGAGGAAUACCGGUGGCGAAGGCGGCCCCCUGGACAAAGACUGACGCUCAGGUGCGAAAGCGUGGGGAGCAAACAGG
rnacentral:rRNA from 1 species